AAAAAUAAUAAUAAUAAAAAAAACCUAAUGUGCUAAACUUCCAAUAAGGCAAAAAACUUUUGAUGCUGGAUGCAGUGUUAUAUACCUAUAAUACAUAUACCAGGUACUUGGGAAGCUGAGGCAGGGGGGUUGCAAAUUUGAGGUUAGCCUUGGCAACAUAGUGAGACUGUGCCUCAAAAAAUAAAGAUAAAAAGGACUGGAGGUGUGACUCACUUGUAAAGCACCCCUAAAUUCAAACAAAAGCAAACAAACAAAACUUAAAGUGUCUUAAUUUUUUCCUACUAUAUCAGGUCUCUGGCCAACCCUGUUUCUUUUCCCUAUAGCAAUUCUUGGCCACACAGUUGAUUAUGCAAACAUCUGAGUCUGGAAUCAGUGCUAAAAGUCUUCGAGGAAGAGAUUCUACUCGAAAACAAGAUGCUUCAGAGAAGGUGAGGUGAUAGAUCAGAAAAGAGACUAUUCACCAGUAUUCCAGUGCUAAAAGUCUGAAGUAUUCAAAGAACCUUAUGUUAGUACUUGGUAUUGCCAAGCUUCUGCAUUCUAAUGGUGCACAGAAACAGAUCAUAGAAUAGUAGUUGUUUGCUCCUAUCCAAACAAAGAAAUAUGCUGUUAACUGAGAGGCCCAGUAACAUGGCAGAAAUUUUGAACUGAGUGAAUGAAAUAUUAAUUCCUUUUGGGAGAGUACUCUCAAGGGGGUGGGGGGAAUUGACCUAGCUUGCAGCAGUUAGGUACCAUCAAUUCCUGUUCCACAAACAUGAUGACUAGAUUGCUUUUGUAUCUCUUUCCUCUUAUUCUUGGGUUUUUAAAUUUUGUCUUUGUGUGUAUGGUGCUUGUGUCUCUGUCCUGAGGUUUGGGGUGCUUGCGGCUGAGAGUUUCCGUGGAACCUGAUCAGUGUUUGUUUGUCCUCUAACAGGACAGUGUCCCCAUGGGCUCUCCUGCCUUCCUUCUCUCUCUCUUUGUAAGUAUUGAAUGGCUGCAAAGGGUGGUGUUGCCAGAAAGGUUCUCAGCUCCUGCUGGGGGUGGGUGGCAGAGGGAAGUCCAACACAUAGACUGUGGCAAUAUCUUAAACUUCUGUUUACUUAGGUGGAAUAAGAAACUGUCUUUUCUUCUGCGUUUCUGUCUUCUUGCAUGUGUGUGUGUGUGGGCUGGGUAGGGAAUGUUGAUGGUAUCACUGAGGUAUUCUUGGGGUAACGAUCUAGGAUGCACCUGCUCUUCAUUUCUUGACUCCACCACUUACUAAUUCUUUACUUACAAAUAGAAAAUUACUUAGAGCAGCAGAUACUACCCGACUUUUUAUUGGUGUUCUUUAUACUGGCAGAUAUUUAGCAAGUACUUUUCUCCUUUCUCUUAAAAUAAACUUUCAAAAAUAAUCCCUGAUACACAAACACUCAGUAAAACUUAAGCUAAAGAUCUCAGUAUUAAUGCCCACUAUAAACAGUAGUGGCUGGUGGAAUUAGAGGUAAGCUUAGUAGAACUAGCCUAAAAACUUGUAUUCCUUUCCUCCAUGAAUUAAAUGAUUCUCUUAUUCUGUGUGGUUCAUUAUAGAACAUGAGGCAUACUAUACUGGAAGGGCAUCAGGCUAAAAAACUAUAUGGUCUUAAGAUCAUUGGGUAAUUUCUUGGGGCCUUGUUUCCUCCUCUGUGUGAUAGAACUAAUAUAUAAUGAGUUACCUGUCCAGCCUACCUCACAGGGUUGUUGUGAGGAUAAAAUGAGAAUGAUAAUUAUGAAACUGGCUUUAAAAAAAUUAAAGUGUGUAUAUAAACGCAAGGUGGUAUUUUUGUUCUUACAAAAGUUACCUCAUAGGUAACUUAGGUUCAUGAGCUCAAAAUAUUUUAGAAUCCUUGCAUAUUAGAAAUGUAAAAAUGGUCUGGCCCAGCAAAAGUGUUCACUAGUUCAUCUUGCCUACAGGCCUUUCAGCCUGUACCACAGACAGAACACUAUGGUCUCCGUUCUUUCUUAUUGGCCUGCAACAGUGACUCUGGAUCACCAAGCAGUUGGCUGGCUAUUGCAAGGCUGGUUAAUAGGAUCUUUUAUCUAUUGAAGACAGCAAAGUAUUGCACAAGAGGAAGGAGCUGGGCUGCAGGGAGAGAGCAGCAGAUGGAAAGAAGCCUGAUUGUCCUGAUCUCAUGGAAAACAGCUGUCAGGAGGUGCUAGGGAACUAGUGCCAGGGUCAGUCUGCAGGAAAGGCCUUUCUUAUAGGGACCAACAGCUGGACAGGUAUGUUAGCCAAGAACCUCACUAUCCAAUUCCCUUUCUAACUUUCCCACCUUUAGUUUACUCUUCCUGUUCCUUUGCACAUGAUUUGGGCCUGGGUGGUAUGACUAACAGUCAUUCUGUGGGACCCCAGGUGAAUUCCAAGGACCUCUGUGAUGGUCAUGAUCCAGAUAAUCUGUCCUACAUUUCCUCUCACAAACUACGAGGUGUUUUUUUUAGCUACUCUGUGGGAAGAAAGAAAUAUGCCCCCUCGUCCCUCUGAAGUUUUGUGCUGAUUUUUUUUUCCCCUCUCCCCCACUAAACCAAAUCCCUGCAUUCCUGUUGCACCUUGUCUCUUAACUCUUAACCAGCUUAUUCAUACCCUCUUUCUUUCUCUGCUGUCAUCUAGGAUGGGGGCACCAGAGGACGCCGCUGUGCCAUUGAAGCAGACAUGAAGAUGAAAAAGUGAAGCCUCAAGAGUGUUCUCUUUGAGCUAAACCUGAAAUAGAAGUAAACAAGAUAGAGCUUGGGCUUGUGGGCCCUGUUCCAGAACUGGGAAUUACAGAAGAGGAGGCGCCCGGGCCGCAUGACAUGAGCUGGAAAAAUCUCUCUCAGAGAGUUGGAAGUAACACAUUUGCCUGUUUUAGGGCAAAAAUCGUGGGCUGUGUUAAUGCCCUCAUGUGUAGCUAGCAGAUUGUAGCUAGUUUGUACUGUCUUGUGAAGUGUACAGACUUUUUAAAAAUAAAUCUGUGAAGUGCGUGUGUAUACAAUAAAAUGAAAAAAAAAAAAUCUCU
rnacentral:lncRNA from 1 species